rnacentral:lncRNA from 1 species
CCACAGUGUCUCUUCCCCAGGCUAAGUAGGUGGGCUUCUCUUUGCUUUUUGCUCACUUUUUCUUUAUAUUUGGUAAAACCAUUAGCUUAUUUUGAUUUUAGCUACCUUCCAAUUCUGAUUGCUUUAAGGAAAUUAUGUUAUAUAGAGCAAUAAAACUGGAAGGAACCUCAGCAAUCACAUAAUCUGAGUCUCUUAGCCACCUACUCCUCCUCCAAAGCAAGCAUCUCAGAGUGUAUACCCUUAGCACCUCAGUGCCUGCUAUGUCAUAAGUGUUUAGAAUGCUGUUUAAUUGAAUAAAUGUCCAAAGCUUUACAGCCAAAUUUGGAUGUUAUAGUUUUGGAAACCAUAACAAUUGUCAACCUGGUGUGAGUAAACAAUCUGAAGAAGGCGGUUUGAGAACUUUCCCUCAGACCUUUAGGAAGACAUACCUCAUUCUGCCAAGAAUAAAGAAGAGAAACAGACUUUUUGACUUUUAAAAGAUCUUCAGUUUUCUUUUACUGAUUUCUCCAAUGAAAACAGCAUUCAUGAAUGACUCAGGCAUUGUUGAAUCCGCUUAAAUUUUUUCUUUCCAAUUUUGCUUAUUUUAUAUCUUCUGCCUGAAAUGGAAAAAAUCACAGGAUUCACGGUAUCAAAGAAGCAUCUUCAAACAUCCAGACCAAUGGAUCUCAGGCUGAUCAAGGAGGAACGCGCCCCCUGUGUGAGCUGAUAACAGACAAUUCCCACAGAGCUUUUUCAGAAGCUCACCCAAGACCGCCAGUUACUGUCUACCUCACUUUCUGUUCGAAGUCUAGGAGCAGAGUGAAUAAGGACAAUGAUGUGAAAGUAAAUACAACAUGCUGUGGACAUUCUAUCUGGAAAUCUUCAUGAUAUCAACAAAUCUUCUCAUGAGUGAUUCAUAAACUGGAAAAUAGCUCAAGGAGUCUUGUAUCUUCUGCCUGCAUCCAGGAAAUAAUAAAGGGCUAAUUUAUUAGCUUGUAAGUAGGAUA